ACGGAAGGCAGCAGUGGGGAAUAUUGCACAAUGGGGGAAACCCUGAUGCAGCAACGCCGCGUGAGUGAAGAAGUAUUUCGGUAUGUAAAGCUCUAUCAGCAGGGAAGAUAAUGACGGUACCUGACUAAGAAGCUCCGGCUACAUACGUGCCAGCAGCCGCGGUAAUACGUAUGGAGCAAGCGUUAUCCGGAUUUACUGGGUGUAAAGGGUGUGUAGGCGGCGAAGUAAGUCAGAAGUGAAAGACCGGGGCUCAACUCCGUGGCUGCCUUUGAAACUGCAUUGCUGGAGUCCAGGAGAGGUAGGCGGAAUUCCUAGUGUAGCGGUGAAAUGCGUAGAUAUUAGGAAGAACACCGGUGGCGAAGGCGGCCUACUGGACUGGUAUUGACGCUGAGGCACGAAAGCGUGGGGAGCAAACAGGAUUAGAUACCCUGGUA
rnacentral:rRNA from 1 species